rnacentral:rRNA from 1 species
AACGUAGGAGACGAACGUUAUCCGGAGUUACUGGGCGUAAAGGGCGUGUAGGCGGUAUGUUAAGUCUGGCGUGAAAGCUCUCGGCUAAACCGGGAGAGGUCGUUGGAUACUGGCACACUAGAGGAUGGUAGAGGCGUGUGGAAUUCCGGGUGUAGUGGUGAAAUGCGUAGAGAUCCGGAGGAACACCAGUGGCGAAGGCGGCUCACUGGCUCAUACUGGACGCUGAGGUGCGAAAGCGUGGGGAGCAAACAGG